rnacentral:misc_RNA from 1 species
GCCUUUCAAAUCAGGGUGCGGCGCGGCCCCCGAGGAGCGGAAACAAUCCUUGGGAGGUAUGCGGGGGCUUCGAGCCCCCCAUUUACGCACGCACGACUGCCAUCCUUACUUUACGAGCACCUUCUGUUCUCCCUCGGCGGGGCAACCUGCCGAUGGAACCGAAUAAACUCUUUUUGCAUCUAGCAUUACCUGUUCCGAAACAAACAAUCGUUA